UUGUCCUACGGGGCGCAGCAGUGAGGAAUAUUGGUCAAUGGACGAGAGUCUGAACCAGCCAAGUAGCGUGAAGGAUGACUGCCCUAUGGGUUGUAAACUUCUUUUAUAUGGGAAUAAAGUUUUCCACGUGUGGAAUUUUGUAUGUACCAUAUGAAUAAGGAUCGGCUAACUCCGUGCCAGCAGCCGCGGUAAUACGGAGGAUCCGAGCGUUAUCCGGAUUUAUUGGGUUUAAAGGGAGCGUAGGUGGAUUGUUAAGUCAGUUGUGAAAGUUUGCGGCUCAACCCCGUACUGCCGUUGAAACUGCA
rnacentral:rRNA from 1 species